GAUGUUUGUAAUAUACAAGGUAGAUAGUGAUAGUAGUAGUGAGUGUAAAGUGGCUCGUCGGUUUGACCAAAAUGGUACAGACAGCACUUGUGACCCCAGAGUCACACUACAGACAGAGAGUGACAAAGUGUUUCUACACAUCACCAACACACAACCAUCUGAUGAAGGAAGCUACACCUGUGAGUGUGUACAUAAUCGAGGAACACAUUUUUUGAAUCUCAAUAUUUCUGUCAAUGGAUCCCAUGUCACAAACAACCUUUCUUUCCAACGACCUUUCAAUGUCAUGAUAAUAACAGCCUUUGCAGGAUUUGUAGCCGUCGUGGUCCUUGUUGGAAUAAUCAGAAGGAAACGUCAUCACAACAGGAGAACACAGCAGAAAGCGGUGUACACCUUUAAAGAGGAGGAGCAACAGGACAUUGAUCCCUACAACACGCUCACAAGAAGAGACAAUGGGAUCCUCCAGCUGUCACAUUCUAACCCCUGACUUCUAGCACCGUUGACAAAUGACAACAGGGAAUUAGACACCUUUUUCUAUCACUAGUAAAUAGUAUUUCACCAGCCCUGGAUAUACAACUGUACAGUAUAUCUUGAUUACUGUAAUGCCCCUAUUUUUACAGCUGAUACACUGACUUUAUAUAGUUCUAUUGAUUGGUUACUGACACCUGGCUGAAUAGGUCCUGUACUGUAGAUCGUCUUCUGUUGCUGUGAAUAUCAGCACUUACUGUAUGACUCAUGUACAUUCUGUUAGGUAGAACCAAUGUUCCUGUGGACAGAUGUGAUCAUGUGCAUUUCCACCAGGUGUCAGUGUUUUGGAUUGGUAAAAGAUAUCACAACAUGCUCCGUGACAAUGUAUUGUCCUUGCGUUCAAUGUUCCAUCUCCAUGUAUCAUAUAGGCCUACAUGAGGUAAAUGUUCAAGUUUAGAGAUGUAACGACAAAACUAAACCGUCCAUUAAAACUUAAUUUCCAAACAUGCAUAAGCAUGUUUAGCAUAAUAAAUCAAACCUGUCCUGAAACUGUACACACGUGAAAGAGCAUUAAAACUUGUAAGCAGUGCGUAACUGGCAGCAGGGAAGUCAGGCGCAGGAGAGCAGAAAUGGGUAACAGCCGGAGCACUUUAAUGAUGCAAAAACAAACGGCACCCAGAACAGCAAAAUACUGGUUGAAACAACCCGUCGCCAACCACUCAGAAAUGCACCAAACACUUAAAACAAAUAAUUCCACACACAGACAUGGGGGGAACAGAGGGUUAUAUACACGUCAAAUAAUGAGGGAAUGUAAGCCAGGUGUGUGGGAAAACAAGACAAAACAAAUAGAAAAUGAAAGGUGGAUUGGCGAUGGCUAGAAAACCGGUGACGUCGACCGCCAAACGCCGCCCAAACAAGGAGAGUAACUGACUUCGGCGGAAGUCGUGACAAAAUACUACCUGAAAACGCUCAUCAUUCAGCUGUGUGUGACUUUCGUUGAUGGAAGGAUCGGACCAAGGUGCAGCGUGGUAGGCGGACAUCUUUCUUUUAUUGAUGACACUGAGAAAAAAUAUAUAUACAAAACGCAGAGUUCUGUAGGGCUGGGAAGCAACAGUACAAAAACAAGAUCCCACAAACUAAAGGUGGAAAAAGGCUGCCUAAGUAUGAUCUCCAAUCAGAGACAACGUUAGACAGCUGCCUCUGAUUGGGAACCAUACCCGGCCAACAAAGAAACAGAAAACA